GGGUGAGCUAACAGGACUCGUUCUUCCUCUCUUUGCAUUUAAAAAUAUCUGUCUUGCACUGUUUCUGCUUCUGUCAGUUAUUGUCAGCAUCCUAUCCAGAAGAUAUAAUGUAUAGUCUCUAUGCCCUGUGGAAUUUUGGAGAGUGCAUGCUUUCAUCAGAGUCUUCACAAAGUGCUCACAACCGGAGAGAACUCACGGUAAAACUGUAGCUGCGGAGUGCCUCUUACAGAAUGCUUUUAAGCAUUUGCCCUGAAGCAACCUUGCAGUUUUCUGUCCCUACUCUUGUCUUUGAGGUCGAG
rnacentral:lncRNA from 1 species